rnacentral:lncRNA from 1 species
GUCAGGAGGAGCUGUGUGCUAUCCUGAGCAUUGGAGGAUGUUUACUGGAUGCUAGUAGCACACAGUUGUGAUGACCCAAGAUGUCACUAGACAUUGCCAAAUAUAACCUGAGGGGUAAAUUGCCCAUGCACUGCACUUGAUUCUUUUACUCAGAAAUGAACAUGGAGCAAUUUACGUGCACCGGUAAAAUGCGGCUACUCUCGGAGUCCCUUUGGGCCAUACCCCAGCCAGGGAAGUUCCCAGAGAUGGGAGCAGAGGAUUAUCUCCAGGCAGUGCUCAAGAAAAAGAACAAAUCACCUGCUGCCUCGGCAGGACAGGAUUUCUGCCAAUCCCACCUGUAAGCAGCGUUCAUGGCUUCCAGACAAAGUGGGGGCCCGGGGCCUGCAGAACAGUCGGCCACAUUCACCAGCCUGUCUCUCCUCUGGACCUCUUGGCACAAGCUUUUACUCUCCAGACUGUGUGUGUUUGGUUGAAUUGAAAUAAACACAGCAGGAUUUUGUUUUAGUUUGUUGUUUGUUUUGCAGAACGAGGUCUUAGAGGAAGGACUUCCCAGCCAAACUUGACCCCACACAGGCCAGAGAGAAGCGGUAGGGAGGGCGGCGAGAAGGAACUAUGAAGUAAAAUGGGGACUGGUGUGGGGACUGACUUCCUCCCCCAAAAACCUGGAAC